UAGCAAAGUGAAGACGUGCGCGUAACUCAAAGCUAAAAAACUAUUUUAGUGAACUGGACAUUCGUACGACCCUUCCGUACCUCGAGGCCUCUUUGCUCUUCGCUAGACCAGACAGCUAAGGGAAAAAAUAAUAACCUAGAACACGGAACAUGUACAUGUAUAAUGUACAUACAUACAUACAUGCAUUUUAAAUCCUCUUUGCUUUUCGCAAGACCACACAGCUAAGGGAAUAAUAUCAUAACCCAUAACAUGGAAC